rnacentral:rRNA from 1 species
GAGCUGAUCAGCCAUGCCGCGUGUGUGAGAGGUCUUCGGAUUGUAAAGCACUUUAAGUUGGGAGGAAGGGCAGUAAGUUAAUACCUUGCUGUUUUGACGUUACCAACAGAAUAAGCACCGGCUAACUUCGUGCCAGCAGCCGCGGUAAUACGAAGGGUGCAAGCGUUAAUCGGAAUUACUGGGCGUAAAGCGCGCGUAGGUGGUUCAGCAAGUUGGAUGUGAAAUCCCCGGGCUCAACCUGGGAACUGCAUCCAAAACUACUGAGCUAGAGUACGGUAGAGGGUGGUGGAAUUUCCUGUGUAGCGGUGAAAUGCGUAGAUAUAGGAAGGAACACCAGUGGCGAAGGCGACCACCUGGACUGAUACUGACACUGAGGUGCGAAAGCGUGGGGA